rnacentral:rRNA from 1 species
GACGAACGCUGGCGGCGUGCGUAACACAUGCAAGUCGAGCGGAAAGGCUCCUUCGGGGGUACUCGAGCGGCGAACGGGUGAGUAACACGUGAGUAAUCUGCCCUGUGCUCUGGGAUAGCCACCGGAAACGGUGAUUAAUACCGGAUACAACCACUAUCCGCAUGGGUUGGUGGGGGAAAGUUUUUUCGGCACAGGAUGUGCUCGCGGCCUAUCAGCUUGUUGGUGAGGUAAUGGCUCACCAAGGCUUUGAAGGGUAGCCGGCCUGAGAGGGUGACCGGUCACACUGGGACUGAGACACGGCCCAGACUCCUACGGGAGGCAGCAGUGGGGAAUAUUGGACAAUGGGCGGAAGCCUGAUCCAGCAACGCCGCGUGAGGGAUGACGGCCUUCGGGUUGUAAACCUCUUUCAGUACCGACGAAGCGCAAGUGACGGUAGGUACAGAAGAAGGACCGGCCAACUACGUGCCAGCCGCCGCAGUAACAC